rnacentral:lncRNA from 1 species
GAGUAAUCGAAAAGUAUUUUGAUACAAAUCCAUUUGUUUUAAUACACGUAGUAGCAUUGUAUAAUAGCCUUUUAUCCAUGGUCUAAAUUCAUCGCCAAAUUCAAAUUUCUCCAAUACAAAAUCUAUCGAUUCCCAUUCAACCCUAUCGAACGCUUUUUGUUAAUCCAAAAAUAAUAUAAUCCCUUCUUCAUUUUCGUUGUCAAUAUAUUCUAUGAUGUCCUGAAACAUUCAGUUAGCCUCGCUUAUAUUUCUACUUUUAACAAACCCUUUCUGAUCGGUAUGAAUAAUUUUAGGCAGUACUAUCUUAAGUCUUUCAGGUAGAAUCUUUGCAAUAAUUUUGUAAUCACAAUUUAGUUGAGUUAACGGUCUCCAAUUUUUCAUAUUUUUCCUUUCUCCUCCUUUAUAUAGUAAGGUUAUGUUGAGAGUUACUCAAAAUAGUAUAAUUCAAAAUUUCUUGUAGUAAACUAAAGAAAUCGUUUUUUAUUAUGUCCCAGUAUAAAACAUAAAAUUCUGAUAUUAUACCAUCUUCGUCAGGUGAUUUGUUCUGUUUGAGUAAUUUUAGUACCUUUUCUUCUUCACAUAUAUUUAUAUCUCUAUCUAACAGUUCUUUAUCUUCCCUACUUACCUUAAAUUGGUCACUCUUAUAUCAUCACGCUUGAUCAGAAAUGAAUAUGAUAUAAAUUAAGUUGGUUUAUGGUUUGGUUGUAUAAUAACUGCCUACAACCUAUA